UAAUGUAUAUAUAAAUUUAUGAUAUGAAGACAGUGUUAGGGACAGGGGUACCAAAGGUGAGACUUGGCAAAAUGGCAAGUCACUGAAGUGGGGUCUCCCAUUGUGUGCAUAUGCAUGCUUCGUCCUUAGUGCUGACAUUUUGAAAACGCAAGCAUGCAACAGUUAUGACUCCAUAAAUGCAUGUUUCAGAGUGUCCAAUGCCUUGUCCCAUUUUGGUCUCAGAAGGUGACUUGUCAUCUCUGUCAACAUUCCUCUCCAUCUCCACCGUCCAUUUUCCAUUCCCUCUCGUCACCAUUCUCUCUCCGCAUCACCCAAGUCAACCACAAUACUCAUACAACAUCAUCGUCAUUAUCAUUAUCAUCAUCUUCUUCUUCCUCCUCUUCUUCUUUCACCAUG
rnacentral:lncRNA from 1 species